UGAGCAAAAAUAGAGACGAGUGGCUCCCCAGACGCCCAUGUAGUCAGUCCACCAUCGUCCUUUUUCCAUCUCCUUCUUCUCCUCCUCCUCCUCUCAUGGCCGCCGCCGCCGCCCCCUCCGGCGCCGGAAGGGCACCCUCCAAGUAUCCCUCUAUCCGAUGGGAAAGAGUCCUUCCUCGCCGAUCCCUCCGUGUUCUCCUUGUUGAGCACGAUGACUCCACUCGCCACAUCGUCACCGCCCUCCUCCGUAAAUGCGGUUAUCAUGUCGCUGCUGUGGCGGAUGGGGUGAAGGCUUGGGAGGUAUUGAUUGAGAAGGAGUUUAACUUCGAUUUGGUUCUCGCGGAGGUUGAUAUGCCUUCGCUUUCCGGAAUUGGUUUGCUAUCUAGGAUCAUGGGGACCGAGGGUUGCAAGAAUAUCCCUGUUAUUAUGAUGUCUUCGCAUGAUUCUGUUAGUGUAGUACUUAAGUGCAUGCUGAAAGGCGCUGUGGAUUUCCUUGUUAAGCCUGUUAGGAAGAAUGAAUUGCAGAAUCUAUGGCAACAUGUUUGGAGAAAGCACUGUUCAAGCAGCUCUGCAAAUGUUUCUGACAACAAUGCUGCUAGUAAUCAUAUUAGUGUGAAUGCCGGUGAGAUGUCAGAGACAGGGGAAAACAGUGAUGAAGGAAACCAUGCUUUUCAGUCUGGUGGCAGACCAGUGGUGGAUAUUGGAGUGGAUGAGAAGUCCAUGGAGCCACUACAAGAUGGGGGAGGGUAUUCUAAGGAUGAAGUGGAAGCAAAACAAGAUCAGGUUGACGAAAGAUUGACUAUGGACUUGAAUGAUGAAUCUGGAGAUAAAUCAUUAGGGAUACCUGCUGAAGUAACACUUCCUGUUCAAAAUUCUUCUUUAGUAGAACAAGGUCAGAAAGCUGAAUGUUCGUACAAAACAAUUCCUUUUAGGGACGAAGCUAUAGGUUUCAUGAGAUUAAAACAAGCUGUUAGCAUCAAUCCUAGCAACUAUUGUCACUACAAUUUUAUAAAUGAGCCUUCUAGUACUAUGAAUUGCUUCAUGGAAAAUGGUGCAAGGGAAGUUGUUUAUGAAUCUGCAAGAUCAUUUCAUAAGGAGGAUGGAUCCUAUCAUUGUUCAUCAUCAUUUAUGGAGUUUGAUGGUUGCCCGAGGCAAGAGUCCAGAGAGAGAAAUUUUUUAAAACAUUCAAAUAAUUCUGCAUUUUCAAGGUAUGGUUAUGAAAAGAUUUGUCCUUCAAAUCCACACGGUGCUUCCACUUUGUGGAUAAGAACCACCGAUUGUGUGGAUCAAUCCAUCUCACACCCUAGUACCGAUCGAUGUGAUGAUGAAAGAAAUGCUCGUCUUUCUCCUAGCAAAAGGCUGGCCUCCCCUCGAAUGAAUGUGGAUGAAACACCACUGAACUUUCAAGCCCCUCCCAAUAGCAACAAUGAUGAUACUGGCUUUUCACCUUCUGAACAACUGAAAGAGCAUGCUUGUAUUGAUCAUUCUUCCACAAGAGAGGAUUCUUCUUUUUGUCACCCUCAACUUGGGUAUAUACCAUUACCAAUUCCCAUGGGAGCCAUACCUUAUCAGACCUUGUGUGCAGGGCACCAUUCCAUCUUGCAACCAGUUUUCCAUCACGACAAUUCCUUAUCAGGCCAUGGCUCAAGAACAAUUGGAGAGCAUAUAGCUCCAUCAUGCAUUCCUGUGGAUCAAUCCAAUCCAACUGGUAGCUGUAGUCAUGAUGUGAUGAAUGUUAGUUGGAGCAAUUGUAGUGGUGAAACAAGCGCCGCAGUUGUUAAUAGAGGAAAUGCUUUGGAAAGCGGGAAUGAAAGCGGUGUUCAAAACUGCAAUAGGAAAGUCUUGGGACACGAUCAUUCUAGGCGUGCGGCUGCCUUAGUCAAAUUUCGCUUGAAACGGAAAGAGAGAUGUUUUGAAAAGAAGGUUAGAUACUUUAGUAGGCAAAAGCUUGCUGAGCAAAGGCCAAGAGUGAAAGGCCAAUUUGUACGUCAAAAAGGUGUAGGUUCCUCAAAAACAACAGACACUGAAGAAUGAUUAUGAGCAACUAAACAUGUAUAGUAUUCUCUUGAGGUUUUGUUUCCAUUGGUGGAGAGUUGAAGACCUCAGCAGGUUGAGGAUCGGCCUCUAUGGCUCUAUGGUCUUUUCAGCGUUUCAUGAGUUCUAUGGAUCAUCUGCCGUUAUAGGCGUUAUCAAACUAUCAAACCAUAAGCAUAUAUCAGGAAAUGAAGGUAUGUUUUCCUAACCACACCAUCCAUUUUCACUCAACUUAGCCUGGUUUUUUUCUGCAUGAUUAAAGUUAUAUACAGACAUGAUUAUCUUGCAAAAUCCAAACUGCAAGUUUAACAUAAGAAGUUAAAUUUUGUCAAUGCUAGGUGGGCUCAGUUUUCCAUGCCUGAUUCCAUGGCCUUUCAUUUGAGAACCAUUCAGUUACUCAAUUAUUUUGCCAGUUUUGUUAGAAUGACAACUCUCAGGUCUCAGGUGCUGAACAAUUUGUCUUCUUCCAAGCCUCAGUAGAUUCAGUCCUAUUUCUUUGAUUCCGUUCAUACUUUAUAUAACAGGAUUGUAAUAAUCCUUUAAAUGUGAGCAAUUAGAUCACCACUGACCAGAGUUAAGACUGCACCAGGUAUAAACACUAGCAUUGAAUCAAUUGAUCUGACUGGCCCCUGCUGAGUUUCAGUCAA